CAGGCCUCACACAUGCAAGUCGCACGCAGGCUUCGGCCUUCGUGGCGCACGGGUGCGUCACGCGUGGGCAUCUGCCCCUCGGUUCGGAAUCACAGUUAUAAAUGCCUGCUAAUCCCGGAUGAUGCCGUCAGUCCAAAGAUUUAUCGCCGAGGGAUGAGCCCGCGUAGGAUUAGCUAGUUGGUGUGGUAAAGGCGCACCAAGGCGACGAUCCUUAGCUGGUCUGAUAGGAUGAUCAGCCACACUGGGACUGAGACACGGCCCAUACUCCUACGGGAGGCAGCAGUGGGGAAUAUUGGACAAUGGGCGAAAGCCUGAUCCAGCAAUGCCGCGUGAGUGAUGAAGGCCUUAGGGUUGUAAAGCUCUUUUACCCGGGAUGAUAAUGACAGUACCGGGAGAAUAAGCCCCGGCUAACUCCGUGCCAGCAGCCGCGGUAAU
rnacentral:rRNA from 1 species